GCAUUGGUGGUUCACUGGUAGAGUUAUCUCCUUCCAUGUGGGAGACUUGGGCUUGAUUUCCAGCCAGUGCA
rnacentral:tRNA from 1 species